rnacentral:rRNA from 1 species
UCGCCAUUGGAUGAGCCCGCGUCGGAUUAGCUUGUUGGUGGGGUAACGGCCCACCAAGGCGACGAUCCGUAGCUGGUCUGAGAGGAUGAUCAGCCACACUGGGACUGAGACACGGCCCAG